UCACUUCCUGGGCCAAACAGAUCAUCUGUUCGGAGGUAACCUAUGCUGUCAUCCUCUUAAUGCCUCUACCUUCCAAGUUUUACCCACUUUGCUACCUCUGGCUGCCUGUUUUAGCAACAGAAAAGCAAAAGACAGUACCUUUCAUUUCAGUUAAGUUGAAAGUGUACCAAGGUCAGUAUUGACCUGUCUCUUGAAGUACAGAAUGACAACAAGAUGUUUGCAGUAUUUGGAAAUUGUGUUUGAAUAUGGUUAUUUUUUAUUAAAUGUUAGAAGUCACAUUCCUGAAGAAUGUGGGGAAAUGCCAUUUGAGAAUUGGCACUGGGGAUCUAUGAAUGAAUGACAAUAAAAACCCAUAGAAUGUGGACCUCUAAGUAGUAUUUCUUUCUGGGGAUAACUUGUUGCAGUUGAUAACUAAAUUAGUUGACUGGGUGUAUAAAAAUUACAUUUAUGUCAGUGGUGGAACAUACUUUGUAAUUCAAGAUAAUAUACCAGAAUAGAUGAUUCUAAGUAAUUUUACGGUAACCUUUUCCAUUAGAUACUAAGCCUUAUUUUUUCUGAAAUUUUAUUUUUAAGUCUUUGAAUAUGCUUGAAUUGUUACAUUUGGGUUCUUUCUUUCUUUCUUUCUUUCUUUCUUUCUUUCUUUCUUUCUUUCUUUCUUUCAAGAAAGAGCAUGCAUGCAUGAGCAGGGGAAAGGAGCAGAAGGAAAGGGGGCGAGAAUAUUAAGCAGGCUUUAUGCUCAGCAUGGAGCCUGACAUGGGGCUCAAUCCCAGAGCCUGAUGCAGGACUUGAUACCACGACCUUGGGAUCAUGACCUGAGCUAAAAUCAGGAGUCGAACUCUCAACCAGCUGAGCCACCCAGGCACCCCUGGGUGUUCUUUUAAUAAACAGCUUUAUGGAGAUGUAAUUUACAUAUCAUACAAUUUACCCAUUUAAAGUUUGCAAUUCAGUGACUUUUAGUUUAUUUACAGGGCUGUGCAUCCAUCACUGCAUUUCAUUACCCACCCCCCCCCCCCCAAAAAAAAUCCUAUCUCCUUACCUAUCUAGCCUCCAAUCUCCCCUUGUCCACCUCUAACCUUGGUAACCACCAAUCUGCUUUUUGUCUCUCUAAAUUUGCCUAUUCUGGACGUUUUGUAUAAAUGGAAUAACAAUGUCUGGUCCUUUGGGACUGACUUCUUUGACUUGGCAUCAUAUUUUCAAGGUUCAUCCAAGUUGUAGCAUGUGUCAGCACUUCAUUUAUUUUUAUUGCUGAAUAUAUCCCAUGAUAUGAAUAUACAUUUUCUUUAUAGUUCGUCAGUUGACAAACAUUUUGGUUAUUUCUGUUUGGGGCUGUUACGAGUAAUACUGCUAUGAACAUUCAUGUCCAAGUUUCUGUGAACAUGUUUUCAACUUAAUCUUGUGUAUACACCUAGGAAUGGAACUAUUGGAUUGUAUCGUAAUUAUGUUUAACCUUUUGAGAAACCGCUAGACUAUUUUCCAAAGUGGCUGUAACAUUUGACAUUCUCAUCAACAACAUAUAAAAUGUAUAAAAGUUCUAAUUUUUUCUGGGGCGCCUGGGUGGCUUAGUUGGUUAAGAGCUUGAUUUCGGCUCAGGUCACGAUCUCACAUUUCGUGGGACUGAGUUCUGGGUCAUGACAGCUGGAACCUGCUUGGGAUUCUCUCUCUCCCUAUCUCUCUGCCUGAUCCCCAUGCUCACUCUUGCUUUCUCUCUCACAAAAUAAAUAAAUUAACUUAAGAAUAACAAUAAAUGUCAGUCGGCAUUUAAAAAACACUUUCCAAUUUCCACAGCAUCACCAGCACUUAAUUAAGAUCCUUGGAUAAUUAUUUUUAAUAUUAAUAUCUUAAUUUUUUAUCCUGUGUUGCCAUAACAAUGGGAGACACAGUAUUCAUAUUGUGCCAAAUUAAAGAGACUAAACACUACCUGCCGGCUUUGAAUGGCAAUUUUUCUCUCCAAGAACAUUGCUACAUUUUAAAACAUGACAAUCAUAUUAAAGUCACUGUAAGACAUUUCCACCUGCAUAAAAUGAGGCUCAAGAAAAUUAAACAUCAAUUAGCUUUUUACCUACAUCUACCUCAAGAGGACUCCAGUGAAGACCACACUAGGUUGGCCUGUCCCUGGGAGAGGACGUGAGAAGACCUCCAGUAUCUUGAUGACUGAAAUACGAUUUCAACAAGCUGUAUGUUUUCAAGAACAAAGACCUCCCUGUAAGCUCGUGUUCCAAAUCACUGCCAUAGUCUCAUAAUAAUUGCCUCUUGUCGACUGGCUGUUCACUACAAACAGUCUUCAUAGUGACAAAGCUCGGCAUUUGAGGGAGAGGGCUGUCCCUGAGCCUUUCACUCUGGGGAACCUCUUAGGUUAAUUUCAGUCAUCUGGGGAAAAAAACAAAAAACAAAACCCAAAACAACAACAACAAAACAACCUUUCCACAAAAAGGAAAUGUUUCCAUUCUGGAAACCAAAGUAAAAAUAAAAUAUAGGAAGGCAACUGACAAGGAUUUCUAAGACUGGAGCUUCAGAUUUCUUUGUGUCUUGAUCCAUGGGCAGUUUAAUGGUCAUUCAGCAGCUACUUUCCGCCCCACCCCGUCGUACCCAAGAGCUUUAAGUCAGGGAGGAGAUUUUGCAAUUUCAAUGAGGAUAUUUUGUUUCCAUUGUCAAACUGAUCUAUAGUUUUGCAUAAUCUGAAUCUGGGUUCUCUGCAGUUUAAGAUGUGAGCCAGGGGCCUGGCAUUUGUCUUUAUUGUGUUCCCCCAAUAACUUCAUAAUUAAAGCAUUUGAUGAUUGUUUUUGUUUCUUCUUGCUGGCAAUGAUGUACAUCGUGAGGAAUUGGGCUAUUCAUGUGCUUGCAGGUUAAAGGAAACCAAUAAACUUUCGGGGGAACCUUAUUAGGAUUUUCCAAAGAAACAGAACCAAUAGGAGAUACUUACACAUAAAAAAGGGAUUUAUUUUACUGAAUUGGCUCACACAGUUAUGGAGGCUGAGAAGUUCUAACAACAGCCGCCUGCAAGCUGGAGACCCAAGAAAGCCAGUGGUGUAGUUACAAUCUGAACCCAAAGUUCUGAGAACCACUGGUGCGAGCCCAAAUCCAAAGGCUGGGGAACUGGGAAAGCGGUGGUGUAAGUUCCAGUCUGAGGGCAGAAGACCUAUGUUUAGCCCAAUCUGAAAGAGUAAAUUCUGGCUUCCUCCACCUUCUUUUCAGGCCCCCAAUGGCUUGGGUGAUGUCCACACAAAUUGGGCUGAGCAAUCUGCUUUAGUCAGUUGCUAAUCUCAUCCAAAAAAAAAAAAAAACACCUUUAUAGAUACACCCAGAAAUAAUGUUCAUCCCGUGACCCAUUCAAGUUGACAUGUAAAAUUAACCAUCACAGGGACCAAUUCUUUACAUCUUCUAUCUUGAUCAUCUUCUGUCACUUGCUUAUCUACAUCUUACCACAGUCACCUUCACCUCUGAUCUAGUUUCUUCCACCCACUAAACUGCAAUCUUCCCUUUCAGAGUGUAUCUUCUAUGUAUAUUUACACAUUUUUUUGUGUAACAUUGACAAUCUCUGUGUGUAGAUGCUUUGUUGGCAACCAACCGAGAAAAAGCAAACAUUCUGCUAAGAACAUAUUGUACUUCAUUGAGAAGCAUGUUUAUUUAGACCAAGGUCUUUCUGGAUGAUUAUUUAUUUUGGAUUUAUUGUGGAUUAUAUUUCAGUAAGAAAUAAUAUGCUUGUGUUUCCCAUUCAUACUUUUAUCACAGGUUCCUAAUCUUUACUAAAUAUUCUCAUAAAAUGACAACUCUCAGGACACUCAUGAAAAUUGCUAACCUAAAAGUUAUCUUUCACAUAAGGGCAACAUGUCUGUCUCUUUCCACAUUCCUGCCUGAGCCCAGAAAAUAGAACAGAGCUUAUAAAAUAUUAAGGGUCACAGAGCUUUGGUCAUUUUGCUUACCUCACUUUCCAAGGAAUCCUGGGUUGUAUUGGCAUUCCCCAGGAACAUCUGCUAAAAGGCAGGCAUGGAGGUUCUCCACACCAUGUGGCUUUCUGUUUUGCAUAUGAUUCACAAAUUCGGUAAGUGUGCUUUGUGCAUUUAAUUUUUCCCGUAAACCUGUCCUAAAGUGUACCUUGAAAGAAGAAAGGCAUUCCAGUUUAUCUUCCAAUCCAAACUGUUCUUUGAUGUAGUUUACCACUAACAAAGUACAUAAUGUGACUCCACCUCUCUUAAUCAAUUUGAUUCAAAACCCAGACAUGACACUUUUGAAACCCCAAAACAUCAAAAUAUAUAGAUAGGAUCCUAAUAAAUAAAUGUGGUCACAAAUUCCUGAUGCAUAUUUGUGACAUACAUGCAUACAUACAUCUAUCUGUCUAUGUAGGUUUGUGCUUUACUUAAAGAUGGAUUGGGGGGCCUGCGUGGCUCGUUAGGCAUCUAACAAUUUCAACUCAGGUUGAUUUCAACUGAGGUCAUGAUCUCACCAUUCGAGAGAUUGAGCCCCAUGGUGGGCUCUCUGCUGGUGGCACAGAGCCUGCUUGGGAUUCUCUCUCCCUCUCUCUGCCCCUCCCCCACUUGCUUGCUGGCUCACCCUCUCUCUCAAAAUACAUAAAUAAACAUUUAAAAAUAUAUUUAAGAUAUAUUGAGGUCAAUUAUGAGCCAGAACAUUGAAAAUAUAAAAUUUUGGAAACCUCAGGUUAAAUGGAUUCUGUAGCAUACACCGCUAGUCUCCCACACAAUAUCCGUUCUCUGCUCUUAUCAACAGAACCCAAUUUUGUUGGAAACAGAAAUAAGUCUAUCUUUCAAAGCUUUAUUUACCUGCCCAUCCUGUACCUGGCCUUCCUCCCUGGAUCACAGAUGAGAGGACUGGAGAUGUAGCAGCUAUGUUUUAUCAAUGAGGAAAAGUCCAAGAAACCUAGACCCUGACAUUCUUGAUGUGUUGAGCCAAUGCCAGCAAAACUUGUCUUUCUCUGAACUUUUUGUUCUGCAAGAAAAAAAUACUUCUUUUGAAUAAACUUUAGGAAGCUGAUUUUUCUAUUAUCUGUUGCCAAAUGCCAGUGGGUUCUUUUUUGUUUUUCUUUUUGUUAAGAUUUUAUUUUUAAGCAAUCUCUAUACCCAAUGCAGGCCUCAAACUUACAACCGAAAGGUGAAGAGUCUCAUGCUCUACUGACUGAGCCAGCCAGGUGCCCCCAAUGAGUUCUAAUAGAAAAGAGCACUUAACCUCUGUGCUAUAAUAUUAUUCCUGCCCAUCCUGUUUGUUCAGCUACCUUGGUAGGGAUAAGAUGAACCAUUAAGAUAAUGAUUCUUUGUGUGUACUAUUAAAGGUUUAAAUCAAGUUUUGCCAGCCUUCAAAUAUGUGUCAAAGAGCACAUGAGCUUAUAGUAGAACAAGUUGGUUGUGACAGUUCAUCGCCCGAGCUGUAAGGAAUGAGGCAUCUGUAAAAACCAGGGGUGUGUUCGAUAUCUGCUUGCUUAAUACUUUUCGGUAUAUUGCUGCACUGAGCUCUUAACAGGAUUUUGAAGUGGUUUGGUAAAAGUUGAUUAAUUAUAUUUGCCCUAGAAUAGGAACCCACCAGUGGAAUUAUAUGCCAUUUCAUUAUGGCAAUACCUUUCAGACAUCAGCAAAAUAGAAUAGCACAUUGAACCCCCAUAUAAUUAUUACCCACCUUCAAAAGUUACCAACUUCCGGACAAAUUUCUUUCACCUGUGCUAUGACCCAUCUCCCCACCCUUCCCCCCCACUAUGACCCACUGAAUUAUUUCAAAGCAAAUCUGAGGUAUUUCACCUAUAAAUAUUUCAGUAUGUAUUUCUGAAAGAUAAGGGCUAUUUUAAAAAUAUAAUCGUAAUAUCAUUCUCAUGUUAAAAAAAAACUAUCAAAUAUCUGGGCAGGGUUCAAUUUCUCCAAUUGCCUCAUAAAUGGUAUAUUUGCAGUUGCUUAAUGUUUUCUUACUUCAUUUUGGCUUUUUCUUUGCAGCUUAUAAACUGCAUUUUCCUGUUUGCAUCUCAUCUGUCCUUUAACCUGUCUCUCUGUACCCUGAAUUUCCUGUUUUUGAUCCAGUUAUGCUUCAAGUUUAAUUUUUUGUUAAAAAUAUUUCAUAAGUGGCAUUCAUACUCAUUUUCAUUCUUGUGUUCUUUUUAAAUUUUUUUUUCAACGUUUUUUAUUUAUUUUUGGGACAGAGAGAGACAGAGCAUGAACGGGGGAGGGGCAGAGAGACAGGGAGACACAGAAUAGGAAACAGGCUCCAGGCUCUGAGCCAUCAGCCCAGAGCCUGACGCGGGGCUCGAACUCACGGACCGCGAGAUUGUGACCUGGCUGAAGUCAGACGCUUAACCGACUGCGCCACCCAGGCGCCCCUCUUGUGUUCUUUUUAAAAAAUAUUUAUUUAUUUUUGAGAGACACAGAGAAACAGAGCAUGAGCAGGGGAGAGGCAGAGGGAGAGGGAGAGCAAGAAUUUCAAGCAGGCUCCAUGCCCAGUGCAGAACUCCACACAGGGUUCAAUCUCACAACCAUGAGAUCAUGACCUGAGCUGAAAUCAAGAGUCAGACUUCUAACCGAAUGAGCCACCCAAGCACCCCAAGAAUUUUUUUCAACACUAUCGUACUGUUUUCAGAAAAAGAAUAUGCUAUUCUAAUGAAUUGACAGCAGUAACUAAUUGAUGAAUCCUUUUUGCUGCAUAUUUGGCCAUGAUGGAGACUUUUCAGGAACUGUGGAAUCAUAUGACCCUUCUCCAAAAUACCCAGCCUUCCUAACAUGGCUGGUGAAUAUGAUGGUGGUUCGGCCAGCUCUCACUUUUGAGUGAGCUAUUUUGAAUUCUGAACAGAUGCUUCUAAGCUUUUUCCUCUUGGAGGUGGUUGCAGGUUAGCUAUUCUGACUUACUUUGGAGGACUUUGGGAUGGAGGCAGGAACAUUAGAACCACAACAGUUCGCCUGGAGCCUGUUUCAGAUUCUGUCUCCCUCUCUCUCUGACCCUCCACCGUUCAUGCUCUGUCUCUCUCUGUCUCAAAAAUGAAUAAACGUUAAAAAAAAAAAAAAACCCUGUUUGGGGCGCCUGGGUGGCUCGGUCGGUUAAGCGUCCGACUUCAGCUCAGGUCAUGAUCUCACGGUCCAUGAGUUCGAGCCCCGCGUCGGGCUCUGUGCUGACAGCUCCGAGCCUGGAGCCUGUUUCAGAUUCUGUGUCUCCCUCUCUCUCUGCCCCUCCCCUGUUCAUGCUCUGUCUCUCUGUCUCAAAAAUAAAUAAACGUUAAAAAAAAAAAUUAAAAAAAAAACCCUGUUUCUUUAAAAAAAAAAAAAAAAAAAGAACCACAACAGUUCACCUCCCACUGCUUUCUGCCCCACUCCCAAAGAGUCAAGUAAGCUGAAAACAUGGGGAAAUAUUUCCAGUUAGGGAUGUAUACAAAAGGUAGGCAUUGCUUUUGUCUAUGUCAGAUUCUCUUAUGAGAGCACGUCUUAAUUAGAGUAAAGGAGAAGUAGAGUAGAAAGUCUAUAGAACUAGGGAUGCCUGUGUGGCUCGGUCAGUUAAACUUCCUACUCAUUUAGGCUCGAGUCAUGAUCUCACAGUUCAUGGGUUCAAGCCCUGCAUUGGCCUCUGUGCUGACAGUGUGGAGCCUGCUUGGGGUUCUCUCUCUGCCCUUCUCCCACGCUUGCUCACAUGCUCCUUCUCUCAAAAUAAAUAAACUUUAAAAAAAAGUCUACAGAAAUAUGAAUUGAAAUUAUAAAUUAUUUAAUAUCAACUUGAAAACGGUUUCAGCUUAAGGUUUAGAGACGGGAAGGGACCUUUCUAAAAGCCAGCUUUUCCAACUCCAUUUGCCAGAUGGCUUGUAAAUGGCUGAAAAUACGUAACUGCAAAAUAUUCUAACAUACCAGUCAAAACCUAAUUCCCUUCACUUCAGUAGUUUGUCUUUGGUUCAAGCAAAUGCAUGGGUUCCAAAUACUCUUUAAUUUGGGCAAAAGAUACGAUUUAUAAUGUAAAAAACCUAAAAAUCAUAUUAAUGAGUUUAUGAGUCAGAGAACCAUUUUGUCCCACCCUCACUUCCUGGUGAUUGGUUUUCUCUAGUAAUAGUGUUGAUGUAAACCAUGAUUACAGAUAGCCAAUGGAGCAGUGAACUAUGGGUACUUUAAACAUACCUAUAAUAUUAACUCAGGAGCAUCAGCUAGUUUUUAUCUUCUUUCUGCUGACAUGGCUUGAAAUUAGAAGUAGGAGAAGAUACACAAUAAUUUUCAAAUGCUGUUUAAAAUUUGCCCUGGUUAUGUUUUACAACUGCUAUCAACCAUGUCCACUUUCAAUUUAGGUUGCUAAUUUUUUUUUAAAUUCUAUUUUUAGUAGAAUAAGAGGAAGGACAAAUGGGAACUAAUGAGAAACUACAACAAAUGAAUUUCUGUCUCCAGAGAGAUUCACUAAAUCUUGUGCUCAGGGUUCUCCAAAGAGAAGCUGCAGAGUCACCCAGAGGUCACUGAGACAUGAGAUUGAGAUUGAAACAUCCUGUCUCCAAAACUCAAGUUGGAUGAAUAAUUAACUCAUGCAAUAUGCUAAGUGGUUGGGAUGCAGAAACAAAUACAGCACAGCACUUCUUUCUCAGAAAGAAGUUGUUUGGAGAGUUGUUUGCUGUUGUUUGGAGAGAUAGCUGGAGAGAAUAGUCUAUCCUCCACGUAAAAGAAUCAACACUUGAAAAUGCUCAUCUCAUUAUAACUAACAUACACAUACAGGUCUGUAUAGCGGUGUUUAAUUUUUGUUUUAUACUAAUGAGAUCAUACCAUACAUAUGAACCAACAAAUUGUUUUUCAUUAGAUAAUGUAUCAGAAAUAUCUUUAUAAAUAAGUACAUAUAGGGGCAUGUGGGUGGCUCAGUCAGUUGAGCAUCUGACUUCGGCUUAGGUCAAGAUCUCACAGCUUGUGAGUUCGAGCCCCACAUUGGACUCUGUGCUGAUGGCUCAGAGCCUGGAGCCUGCCUCAGAUUCUGUGUCUCCCUCUCUCUCUGCCCCUCCCCUGCUCACGCUGUCUCUCUCUCCUUCAAAAAUAAAUAAACAUUAAAAAAAAUAAAAAAAAAUUAAGUGCAUAUAGUGCUAUCUCCUUCUUUUCCAUGGUUAUGUAAGGGUGAAUGUCAUAAUUUACUCAUUUCCCACUAAAUAGGUUGUUAUUCUAAGUGUGUAAGGCUGCAAUGAACCUGUAUCUUUACAUACCCUUGCUGGCUUUUCUAUAGGAUAGAUUCUUCAAAUUGGGAUUUCUAGAUGUUUGCUUGUCUUUUAAUGCUGUCAAAAUGUUUUGCCUUCCAAGAAGUUGCUUAUUUACAUACUUGUCAACUAUUUGAAUAAGUAUUUCCCCAUACUAUUACCAACACUAUAUAUUAUUAAUCCUGUAUGUUAUUAAAUUUGUAAUCUCAAGGUCAUGAAUCUCUGUUUUUAAGUUUUGCAUUUCCUAAACUAUUAGUGGGAUUGUCCACCUUUUUAAAAAUAAAUUUAUUGGCUAUUAUUCUGUGAGUGUCCUUUGUAUAUCCUUUGCCCAUUUUUCUAUCACGUGUUUCAUUACCAAUUUUUAAGAGUUCCUUAGCUUUUUGUGAUACUAACCUAGUGUGUAUUGCAAAUGUUUUUCUCUGUCAUUUGUAUUCUAAUUUUGCUCAUGGUGGUUUAUGUAGAACUGAAGUUUUCUUUUUCUUUUUUUAAAAUGUUUAUUUAUUUUGAGAUAGUGAGUAAGGGAGGGGGGGGGGGAGAGAGAGAGAGAGAGAGAGAGAGAGAGAGAAAAUCCCAAGCAGGUUCUGUGCUGUCGGCACAGGGCCUGACGUGGGGCUUGAUCCCACAACCCUGGGAUCAUGACCUGAGGUGAAAUCAAGAGUCAGAUGCUCAACUGACUGAGCCACCCGGGCUCCCCAUAGAACUGAAGUUUUCAUGUUUCAUGUAAUCAUAUCUGUCACUUCUUUUCAUGUGGGUUCUGAUUUUUAUAUUUUGCUUCAGAAGGACCUCUCCACUCUAAAAUAAUAAAAAUAGGGGCACCUGAGUGGCCCAGUCAGGUUAAGCCACUGACUCUUGAUUUUGGCUCAGGUCAUAAUUUCAUGGUUUGUGAGACUGAGCCCCUUUGCAGUCAGCACAGAGCCUGCUUGGGAUUCUCUCUCCCUCUCUCUCUGCCCCUCCCACACUCACAUGUGCUCUCUCUCUCUCUCUUGAAAUAAAUAAAUUUAAAAUAAAUAAAAUAAAAUAAUAAAAAUAACCUCCCAUGUUUUCAUCUAGUACUUUUAUGGAAUUAAAAAAUGUUUAACUCUUUAAUCUAGCUGGAAUUAAUUUUUGUAUGGAGAGGGAGGUAAGGAGCUACCUCCCCAAUUCUAACACUGGCCAAUG